UUGCCAUUCGAAUUGGGAAAGUAAAAGAAACCCCCAUGCACGCCCAUGCCAGCCAGAUGUUAUUACCAAUCCGUAGCCGGUUAACCUUCUGACUUUACGUAAGCAAAGUGCACAAUGUGGCAACCACAUUUAAAUACAAUUAGCAGUUAUGAUUUUCACUUUUCUUAUGGCUGCAAUUUACCAUUGUUGCCGCCACACUCGAGCCCAUGUGGCAAUGUGCAACAGCAACAACAAUAGUCGAACUCAUGGGUGCAAUGGCCAACGGACACGUGUGUCUAACUUCGCCUGGGAUGAUUGCCUGGGAUGUUGGACGGCUGGACAUGGUAAUUUCAUAAGACUGGCGAUCAGCUCAGCCCGAAUCAUUUUCGAUUGCAAAACGGCAACGGCAACGGCGGCAACAACAAUGUAGCAUGUUGCACAUAUUGGUAAAAAGGGCAAAUAGCCAAAAUGAAUGCGCAAUGAUUGGCAUGCGAGUUGCAACAACAACGCCAGAGGUGACCAAUUGCCCAAAAAAUAUAAAAUGAGUGCACUUAAGAUAUUCAUAUGGCAGACAAAUAUAUAAUUAUGUUCUAACAUCAAAAUUGCAUGCUAUACGAAAAGCAAGAAGAAAUAUUGCAGAUGCUGCAAUGUAUUCUAUUUACUUUUAUUUUAAACCGUUUCAAAUGGCAUUAAAUGCUAAUAAAUCACAAUUGAGUACAAGUAAGAACGUGGCAGUGGCAGUCUCUCCAGGCAAGUACUCAUAGAAAAGUCGAAUGCUGAUCAAGUUUUGCUCAGCUUCAAAUAUACUCUAGUUUUGAGGGGCUGCCAUCAUUAGCAGUUUUCUAGUCGUCGGUGAAUUUUCAAUAAAAAAUAAAAAGAUGAAAUUACACACGAAGUGUAAAAGAGAAUAAUUUUAAUAUAAAUACACUUUUCUGUUUAUAUAAAGUGCAGUCAGUUUAUUUAGACGGAAGUCGAUAGCACUCGCUUUGCAGGCGAGUAACUUUCUCUAUUAUUGACUUGUGUCGAAAUACCAAAAUAAAUAAAUGACACCUCAACCGCAUCAGAAAUGUUGUUUUACACACUUUCAAGUGAUAGAAAAUUGUUUUAUUCACGGCCUGCCACGGCGACGUCAGCGUCGUCGACGUCGUCAACUUGACCCAAACACCUCACUUAAAAAUGUUUACAAAUUACGACUUAAUCGCGUGCUGCUUGAACCCUACAACAACCACAAUCACAACUACAAGUAUAACACCAGCCACAACCAGCACAACAAGCACAAUAACAGCGAGAAGAAGAAGAGGGAGAAGAGGAAGAAGUUGCGACGUCAGCUUCAAGUUCAAACUUACAGCUAAGCCCGGUCUUCCUUCUUCCACAGCAGUCUGGCAUUGAUUGAUGAAGUGCAAUUGGUUGGAUUUGAGUGACAGAGUUGAACGUCGACCGUCGCAUGUCACCCAAUAAGCGAAGAGAAUUUCUAGAGCACUUUUAGAUUUAAGAAGUCCUGACCAUUUGAAUCGUAUAGUAAACCAAUAUCUGGACACACCCUGACGAUUUCACGCAACAACAACAACAAAAACCUCAAGUAAUGAUAACUGCAUCGCAGUGCUCCUCCAACCCCCGGGCCAUCGGCAGGCAACAGGUUGCCCGAAGACGUGCAAAUUGAAUAAAUGGAUGAAUAAGGUGGAGCAACGUUUGGACGUGCAAAAGACAACGAGAGCGAAAAAUCAGUGUCACAAAAUGUGAAUUGGAUCAACAUCAUGUUAGGCGACAGAAAAAUAUUUUUGCCUCCUUAGUAUGUUUAAAGUAUCUUUUAGAACAAAACGCUAAGCUAAGUUUCAAUAAUGAAACUAAGUCAAGUGAAUGUGUUGGGCGGAAGGUACCUGCUUCCACUUGUUACCUACUAUCGACCAUAGUUACAGAUUUUAUAUCAUAUUCAUAUUCGUAUAUCCAAAUUUGAUUAUCCAAAUUAUUUUUCAAACACUUUUUCGACGCACUUUUGUACUCAGAGCUCAAUCUCUAAGACUUCUAUAUCUAGAUAUCGAUAAAUAUCGAUUGUGAGAAUUGAUUGAAUUUACUUAAUUUCUUGUAAGACACUCAUUUAAUUGAAUUGGACUACGACUAGCGCCGGAGGAAUUGAAGAGUUAAAAUGCGUCUAUUUUUAUACCCUAAGCCCAUUGAAUAUAGCUAAAAUGUGUAGAUUCCCUUUCAGCAAAUGUAAGUAACAGACAGAAGAAAGCAUCUCCGAUCCCAUGAAUAUAUAUGUUCUUGAGCGAAGCGAUCAGUUGAUGAAUCUUAGAAACUUCAAAAGUAAGACAUAUAUAAUUUAUAUAAAUUUGAUUAUAUAAAUCGAUUUAGAGAUUUGAAAUUUAGGCAUAGCUUGAAAGUUACAAGAGCUAGAUACAUCAAAGAUAAUAUAAGCACAUUAUAUACUGUUUAUAUUGUCUUUGGAAACAUCUAAUUCAUUCUUAUUUCCCACACAUUAAGAUGGCUGAUAUAUGUCUGGAAAAUUACAUUUCGGAAUAAACGACGACACUUUUGCUUUUCUAUAUCUAUGUAUAAAA